ACGGCUCAGUAACUCGUGGAUAACCUGCCCUUGGGUCCGGCAUAACCCCGGGAAACUGGGGAUAAUUCCGGAUAACGCGCAUAUGCUGGAAUGCUUUAUGCGUAAAAUGGAUUCGUCUGCCCAAGGAUGGGUCUGCGGCCUAUCAGGUAGUAGUGGGUGUAAUGUACCUACUAGCCAACAACGGGUACGGGUUGUGAGAGCAAGAGCCCGGAGAUGGAUUCUGAGACAUGAAUCCAGGCCCUACGGGGCGCAGCAGGCGCGAAAACUUUACAAUGCGGGAAACCGUGAUAAGGGGACACCGAGUGCCAGCAUCAUAUGCUGGCUGUCCAGGUGUGUAAAAUACACCUGUCAGCAAGGGCCGGGCAAGACCGGUGCCAGCCGCCGCGGUAACACCGGCGGCCCGAGUGGUGAUCGUGAUUAUUGGGUCUAAAGGGUCCGUAGCCGGUUUGGUCAGUCCUCCGGGAAAUCUGACGGCUCAACCGUUAGGCUUUCGGGGGAUACUGCCAGGCUUGGAACCGGGAGAGGUAAGAGGUACUACAGGGGUAGGAGUGAAAUCUUGUAAUCCCUGUGAGACCACCUGUGGCGAAGGCGUCUUACCAGAACGGGUUCGACGGUGAGGGACGAAAGCUGGGGGCACGAACCGGAUUAGAUACCCGGGUAGUCCCAGCCGUAAACGAUGCUCGCUAGGUGUCAGGCAUGGCGCGACCGUGUCUGGUGCCGCAGGGAAGCCGUGAAGCGAGCCACCUGGGAAGUACGGCCGCAAGGCUGAAACUUAAAGGAAUUGGCGGGGGAGCAC
rnacentral:rRNA from 1 species